rnacentral:rRNA from 1 species
UACGAAGGGGGCGAGCGUUGUUCGGAAUUACUGGGCGUAAAGGGCGCGCAGGCGGCUCGACAAGUCAGAUGUGAAAGCCCCGGGCUCAACCUGGGAACGGCAUUUGGGACUGUCGGGCUAGAGUUCGGGAGAGGUGGGUGGAAUUCCCAGUGUAGAGGUGAAAUUCGUAGAUAUUGGGAAGAACACCGGUGGCGAAGGCGGCUCACUGGACCGAGACUGACGCUGAGGCGCGAAAGCGUGGGGAGCGAACAGG